UGUAGGGUGCAAGCGUUAAUCGGAAUUACUGGGCGUAAAGCGUGCGCAGGCGGUGAUGUAAGACAGAUGUGAAAUCCCCGGGCUCAACCUGGGAACUGCAUUUGUGACUGCAUCGCUGGAGUGCGGCAGAGGGGGAUGGAAUUCCGCGUGUAGCAGUGAAAUGCGUAGAUAUGCGGAGGAACACCGAUGGCGAAGGCAAUCCCCUGGGCCUGCACUGACGCUCAUGCACGAAAGCGUGGGGAGCAAACAGGAUUAGAUACCCUGGUAGUCCACGCCCUAAACGAUGUCAACUGGUUGUUGGGUCUUCACUGACUCAGUAACGAAGCUAACGCGUGAAGUUGACCGCCUGGGGAGUACGGCCGCAAGGUUG
rnacentral:rRNA from 1 species